rnacentral:misc_RNA from 1 species
AAAAAUCAGCCGACUGCCAAUAUUUGCCUCUCCUCUUCUCUCUAGUUACAUUUUCUUCCUCCAAUAUGUAUGGGUUUUCUUUCAGUUUGUGUAUUUGAAUUGCAUUGGUGGAUUUUCCAUGGAAACAAAGCUGUUUGCUUUAUUAGGGAUGGGUAUUUGGUGAAAUGCAUGGAAGCUCUGUUUUUUGAUAUUUAUUUUAAGCUUUGAACAAGACCCAUGGUGUUGGUGCAUCAUGUCCCUUUCCUUACCUUCAUAUCUGUUAAAUCCCAAAAUUUACCAUAAAUCCCGUAUUGUAGGUGCAAUUUGAUCUUUGUUGAAGAUUAAUUACAUUUUGUGCUUGAUCUUUACGGAUCACAGAAUCGCCCUAUUUUUUUGGGAGAUUUACUUUAUAUUUCUCAACUUAACAUAUUCAAUUUUUUUAGCAUAAUUAAGUUUCAUUUAUUAUCUAUCAUGCUGAAUUUUUAAAAAACUGUUAUUAGUGGCAUAUUUGUAAUGGAUUUUUUUUAAUGAUAUGAUGUUAGUUUUGGUUAUUGAAUUAUUAUAUACUUAAUUGUUUAUUUAGCUAUGCAAUCAAAUGGUUUUCCAUGAGAUAUUGAAUUUAAUUAUAGAUGAUAAAUUAUUUUUGUAAUUUUCUGAGGCACAAGUUACACUUUGUUGAUUUAUAGGCUGAGCUCCUUUUGAUUUCUUAAGCACAUAUAUUAAUUGUUAGUAACAUGUUUUCUUUUGUGCUGAAAUAUUUUAGUAAAUAUUUGCAUUUACUAAAGUUUUCUUUGCUCUGAGAAAAUUGUGUUGGUUCACCAUCUCAUCUCAUCCCAUCUGUUGUUUGAGGAUUUAAAAGCUUUGUUUAAAGAUUUAUCACGACAACUUUGCUGCAGUGACCCCUGUUUCUAACGAUUUAUUAUCUUUUUGUAAGAAAUUCUAUUGUCUAUUUAUAUUUAUUUCAUGUAUGUUAUUUUAUAAAUCACAUAUUUUAAUUGGACCCUUCUCAAUUGAAUUUCUGCGUAUGUCACUGCUUGGCCUUACUUCUGGCCAUCAUAUUUAGCUUCAUGAACUCUGGUGAAAGCUUUGAUAGACAUUAGACAUAUCUUCUGAAAUUUCUUAUUUUCUCUCUAUUGUUGUUGUUAUUUGCUUUAUGAGUUUUCAAAGUGACAAACAUUUUCAAGAACUUGAUGUGAUGAAUCAUGGUUAUUUAUUUGACUUCUUUACUUGAUACUCUUCUUUCCCAAAUACAACUUUUAUUGUCCCUUUAUUUCUUUAGAGUUCAUUUUGUCUGGAUUCCAUGGAAAGAUAGAUUCUUUGCUUCAAUAUCUCUUGACAAGUUAAUAGAUGAUUUCAGCUGGCAAAAUCUUUCUUUGAUUCAAUAUCUCUUGACAAGUUAAUAGAUGAUUUCAGCUGGCAAAAUCUUUCUUUGAUUCAAUAUCUCUUGACAAGUUAAUAGAUCAUUUCAGCUGGCAAAAUCUUAAGAUACCCUUUAUGCUGCACAUAUGCAUCUCUUCACCCCUAGUUUGAAUGCAGGCUUCCUCAUUUUUUUGUGGAGUGUUUUUCUAUCAAUAUACCAGAAACAUGACAAUUUUU